GGCAACUUGGCCGAGUUGGUCUAAGGCGAUGCACUCAAGGAUUUCUCCUUGCCUCAAUUAAUGGGGUAGAUUUGCAUUCUCGAAAGGGGCGUGAGUUCGAAUCUCACAGUUGUCA